rnacentral:misc_RNA from 1 species
GAAAUGCGAUAAGUAAUGUGAAUUGCAGAAUUCCGUGAAUCAUCGAAUCUUUGAACGCACAUUGCGCCCUCUGGCAUUCCGGGGGGCAUGCCUGUCCGAGCGUCAUUGCAAACCCUCAAGCACGGCUUGUGUGUUGGGUCACCACGUCCCCGAUAUUCAGGGGACGGGCCUGAAAGGCAGUGGCGGCGUUCGCGUCUCAGCGAUCAGCCCGAGCGUAUGGGGCUCUGUCACACGCUCGCGGUGGUUGGACCGACGUCACGUCCGGCUCUCGAGUUCUUCUCUCUCUCAGGUUGACCUCGGAUCAGGUAGGGAUACCCGCUGAACUUAAGC